rnacentral:rRNA from 1 species
AUGCUGUUUAUCUUGGCAAUCGACCCUCUCCAUCGUCUGCUGGCGGCAGCUGCAGCCCAAGGCACCCUAGCAGCCCUCCCAAGCAGAGGAACUAGUAUGAGAAUUAGUCUUUACGCCGACGACACUGUCAUCUUCGCAAACACUACCAAAGAUGAAGUAUCAAAACUUCUGAACUUCAUCCACCUCUUCGGAGAAGCAACUGGCCUGCGUUUAAACCAAGAGAAAUCCACAGUAGCACCAAUUAGGUGUGAUGACCUAAACCUCGACAAUAUUCUCAAAGACUUUGGUGGAGUUGUAGUAGGCUUCCCAAUGACUUACUUAGGACUCCCUAUCUUCACGGGCAGAAUUAGAAUAGUUCAUCUCCAAUUCAUUUUAGAUAGGAUUAGAUCGUGGCUAGCAGGCUGGAAGAUAAAGUUAAUGAACAUGGCCGGAAGAAGAGUGUUGGUACGCAGUGUUCUAUCUGCUAUGCCAACUUUCGCCAUGACUGUUCUUCGUCUGCCAAAAAACUGCUAA